CGGUGGAGCAUGUGGUUUAUUUCGUUGCACCGCGAAGAUCCUUACCUGGUCUUGACAUCCUGCGAACUUUCUAGUGAUAGAUUGGUGCCUUCGGGAACGCAGUGACAGGUGCUGCACGGCUGUCUUCAGCUCGUGUUGUGAAAUGUUGGGUUAAGUCCCGCAACGAGCGCAACCCCUAUUGAUAGUUACCAGCAUUAAGUUGGGUACUCUAAUAAGACUGCCGCUGACAAGGCUGAGGAAGGUGGGGAAUACGUCAAGUCAU
rnacentral:rRNA from 1 species